rnacentral:tRNA from 1 species
GGUAGCAUGGCCGACAUAGGCGGUAAACUGUAAAUUUACCCAUAGGACUCCCACCUUGCUGCCA